UCCACUCAAACUCUUUCAUCCUUUUUGUUCCUCUGUUAGUGGUGUUGCCACUCUCUCUUCCCCUGUCAUGGCUGCUGUUUCUGUUGAAAGCUUUAAAUAUGCCAAAAGGGAAGGGAGAUUGAGAGAAGAAGCCGACGAAUCCGAAGUAAGAUCCAAACACUCGACAAACACGGUACCGAAGAUUUCAUCAGAGUUGAAACCAAGUGAAGAGAUUGUGGUUUGAAAAUGAUGAUCUUGAUGAUCAAGGGGCCGUGUUCAUGGAAGCCAUAAAAACUGAAAAGAAAAUGCAAUACAACGGGAUUAUUAACUAGUUGUUUGCUGACAUCGUUCUUGGGAGCUUUGAAACCCUUUUUGAGUUCUGAGUAACCGUUGAGUUUAAAGGGAAACGGAAAAGCUAAAUUCUACCUCCAGUUCUGGUGGUUCCAAUGUCUACAAUACUGUUUUCAUUGAUACCAGCCUCGACACCCACCUCGCCAUGAUCGUCUUUGAUUCAAACACUGUUUCUGAUCUUAAAUGGCUUGGGAUAUAUUUGAUGGGAUUGUUGACUCUGGGAAGCAGAUGAAAGUGUCAACCCUAAAUGUCAUGCUUUAAGUUUACUGCAUAAAUGGUCUACGUAUGAAGGCAAAUAGGCUUUUUGAUAAUGUACAUGACAUGGGGGUGAUUCCUGACUCAUCAACAUAUAAACUUCUCCCUUUGUUGACGAUGCAUCAGUGGUAAGUAAGUAGUUUGCGUCAUUGCAAUUUCAUAAUAUAAAAGCUUCUUUUUUUAUGGUAUUUCACGAAAUAUUUUGUAACUGCGGGCUACCUGAUGAAUAGGCGGGUGAAAUCCCCGCUGCAUGUGUUGUCAUGAACCCAAAUGCCAAAGAAAGCGAAACAGACAUCAUGGACUUUGUAGCCUUCAAUGUUGCACACUACAAGAAAGUAAGGUUUUUGCAAUUUACGGACACAAUUCCAAAAUCCCAAUCAAGGAAGAUCAUGAGAAGGCUUUUGAAAGAUAAGAUGAUAGAAAAUAUGGGAAAAAACAAUUCCACAGCUAAUCCAAGUUCUGCUUGUGCCACAAAGGGUGGCAGGCCAGAGAAUAGUGCAAAAACUAAAAGGGAAGUAAUCAAUUGAUUGGUUUAUAUAUUCUUUUAAUCUCUUUCCAACUAAGCGUGAUUCAAAGCAAGGUCUGUAUUGCAUAGGGAUGGUUAUCAAGUUUGGGUAUAUUGCAGCACUAAUUGAAUGUGAUAUUUGUCUC